GGUUGGAGCCACAAGAUCAAAUCCUGGCUCAUGGAAUAUGGUCAGAAGUGAUGAUGCCAAUUCUGGGCCUGGCCCAUAAAACCUCCCAUCUAAUCUUUGCUCUUUCUUCAUCUGCUGGCCAAAUGAAGAUUUUAAGCAGAAUCACAGAAUGGGAAGAGCCUGGGUCCCUGAAUUACUAUAUGGAGCAGAACUCCUCCGCAAACCUACUUCUGACUGUGAUAAGAGCAAUGUAGUAAGUAUUGUGCUUAGCUAUUGCAGCAGCUAGCAUCAUUUAGUCUAACAGAGGUGGAAACGGGAUGAAGAGGAAAAAGGAAGAAAACAAUGAUGGGCAUAUAGUACGAAUGAUGUUAACUACUGGACUCCUAUGCUAUAUGCAUGUUGAGGCGAGUCAAAAGAGAAGAAGGAAGUAACUGAGGACAGCCCGGAGAAAAACCCUAGGAGGGAUAUGGGUGGCAUAAAGUUAAAAAAGAAAUGACUACUGAGUAGUAGAAGAAGUAAAGAUGGAAAGUAAUUUGGUCACCCAGGAAAAACUAGUAGAAAUAAACCAAGAGGUGGGAUAAAGGAAAAUUAGAUCAGGGAUGAAGAAUGGAACACAGCAGAAGCUUGCUUGAAAGAUGAGAAGAUGGAGAGAGAGAAAAGAAUCUUAAAAUAACUAUUAGCACCACUGAAAAUAAAAUAAAAAGAUAGCAGAAGGGUGUUUAGUAAGAAUAAUUUUGGUAUGGUUUUCAAAUUGAAUAUUAUUAUUUCAAAGAAGAAGGGGGAAAACAUUUUUUUUGAGACAGGGUCUAGCUCUGUCACCAAG